CCCAUUCUGGGAGGGCUCAGGUUCAGGUUCAAUAACCUGGUUAUAAAGCCCCUCCGGCCAGCUGUGCGGGCUCCCUCUCCUUGUCUCGUCCUCCCGAGAAGCAGUGCGCCUGUCUGGAUAUACAUUACAGAUGAUAUAAUCCUUUUACCGGGAGAGAGCCAGACACCCACGCCCAUUGGCUGGCCGGGCGAAGGGAGCUGCUGUGAGGAAGGCCCCUCUGGCCGCGUCUCCACACCGCCACCAGGACCGUGUCCCUGAGUGAGAGCAGCGCAUCCUUGGAAAGAAGAUAAUCUGCGGCCCCGGCUCAGAGACAUUUGUUUAGCAGUGACUCUUAAGAAAACUGUUUAUCAUGGAAAAUGUCAACCUUAAACAAAGGUAGAGAGAAUCGUUACUGAGGCCCCGGAGACCCUGGAGCCUGAUCAGCCAGGGUCAACAAUCAUCAACAAUUUGCCGGCAUUUAUCGUCUGCAGCCUCCUUUGUUUCCUGGAGUAUUUUUUUGGAAUGCCCUGUUUUGAAAUAACCCGCUUCACGGGCAGUUGCCCCGAGCAUGAGCACCUUGCACGUC
rnacentral:lncRNA from 12 species